GUUUUUCCUAAUAAAUGAUCUUUUGUUGCAGUUAAACCUCUAAGUGCAUCUCCUCCCUUAUUGCGGCCUAGCAGCAAGUCGUAACAAAUUGUGGCCUCGUCCAUUGUGAGGUCCACACGCCCACCGUCCUACUAACAGACACACAAAUGGCCGCCUCAUGUUAGGAUCCGGAAAUUACUGUCAGGGCGGUUGAGGCGAAGCAGUUCAUGAUCUAACAGAGAGAAAGGGAGGAGGAGGAGCUGACUGUCAGCAGUAAACAGUGUCCGGUUUAGACAUCAAGUCUACUUUUUGCAAAUGAGUUCCGGGGAGACGCACCGGAUCACAGCUGGAAACGCCUCGCAACUGGACCAGCAUGCAACACGACGCGUUUCACAUAGACAAUGAAUGGGAUGCGAGAAGUUGCAAGAUCUAGUGGACACGUACCUUAAGUGUACUUUGACAAACAGACAUUGCAGGGAUUUGGAGUCAUUCUAUGCUGCAGAUGGGUUAAUUGCAUUAAAAUUUUUUGAUCAGAUUAAUGAUGAUGAUGGAUUAAUCUGCAUUAACGUGUUAAUUUUGACAGUCCUAAAUAAAUAACACAGUAAAAGAUAAAGUAACAUAAAUAAAAAUG